CAAAAAAGGUGAAAAAAGCAGGACUAACAAUUCUGAAUAUUAAAAAGGACACUAUAGGCACUCAGACUCCUUCAGCUCAAUGAAGUGGUCUGGGUGCAGUGUCCCUGUCCCACUUAGUCAUGCAAUGUAAAACACUUUUUUUUUUUUAGAAACUGCAAUAUUUACAUUGCAGCACAAGAACAGUCUCUAGUGGCUGUUUUCUAGACAGCCACCAGAGGCGCUUCUGAGAUUUUCCAGACGCUAGGUCGCUUAAUUGAAACUGUCAGUUAGGUCUGUU